rnacentral:rRNA from 1 species
UUCCAGACUCCUACGGGAGGCAGCAGUGAGGAAUAUUGGUCAAUGGGCUUACGCCUGAACCAGCCAAGUCGCGUGAGGGAAGACGGCCCUACGGGUUGUAAACCUCUUUUGUCAGGGAGCAAGGUGCAGGUCGGGACCUGCUGUGAGAGUACCUGAAGAAAAAGCAUCGGCUAACUCCGUGCCAGCAGCCGCGGUAAUACGUAGGUGGCGAGCGUUAUCCGGAAUGAUUGGGCGUAAAGGGUGCGCAGGCGGUCCUGCAAGUCUGGAGUGAAACGCAUGAGCUCAACUCAUGCAUGGCUUUGGAAACUGGAGGACUGGAGAGCAGGAGAGGGCGGUGGAACUCCAUGUGUAGCGGUAAAAUGCGUAGAUAUAUGGAAGAACACCAGUGGCGAAGGCGGCCGCCUGGCCUGUUGCUGACGCUGAGGCACGAAAGCGUGGGGAGCAAAUAGGAUUAGAUACCCCGGUAU